UACAGGGGGGGCAAGCGUUGUUCGGAAUUACUGGGCGUAAAGGGCUCGUAGGCGGCCAACUAAGUCGGAUGUGAAAUCCCCAGGCUCAACCUGGGAACUGCAUCCGAUACUGGAUGGCUUGAAUUCGGGAGAGGGAUGCAGAAUUCCAGGUGUAGCGGUGAAAUGCGUAGAUAUCUGGAGGAAUACCGGUGGCGAAGGCGGCAUCCUGGACCGACAUUGACGCUGAGGAGCGAAAGCCAGGGGAGCAAACGGG
rnacentral:rRNA from 1 species